rnacentral:misc_RNA from 1 species
CAUUACUCCCUCCGUCCCGAAAAAAACGAAUCUAGGACGGGAUGUGACACAUUCUAGUACAACGAAUCUGGACAGAGGUAUGUCCAGAUUCGUAGUACUAGGAUGUGUCACAUCCAGUACUAGGUUGGUUUUUUAUGGGACGGAGGGAGU